AGAAUCAAGCCAGAAAACUAUGAUCACGAAGGUGGUUUUCCCAGGGAGAGGCUUAUCCAUUGAACUCCAGAUGUGCUGACCUCUGCGAUUUCCCCCAAAAGUAUGAAACUGCAUAAAUUGUGGUAGUGGGGAACUGUGUUUGCACUCUCCCCUG
rfam:Erinaceus europaeus unplaced genomic scaffold scaffold00492, whole genome shotgun sequence